GGGGGGGGGAAUGCGAAGGCGAGAGAAAGAAAGCGAGGAAAAAUGGAAGGGGCGAGAAAGAAAUAGCGAAAUAGAAAAAGAAAUAGCUAUUUCUUUCUCGCCCCUCCCAUUUUUCCUCGCUCUCUUUCUCUCGCCUUCGCAUCCCCCCUGGCU
rnacentral:miRNA from 1 species